CCCUUAGACGUUCUGGGCCGCACGCGCGCUACACUGACGAAGGCAACGAGCUUUCCUUUACCGAAAGGUACGGGUAAUCUUUUGAAACUUCGUCGUGCUGGGGAUAGAUCCUUGCAAUUUUUGAUCUUAAACGAGGAAUGCCUAGUAAGCGCAAGUCAUCAACUUGCGUUGAUUACGUCCCUGCCCUUUGUACACACCGCCCGUCGCUACUACCGAUUGAAUGGUUUAGUGUGGCCUUCGGAUCCGCGACUCGUUUGUGGAGAAGUUGGACAAACUCAGUCAUUUAGAGGAAGUAAAAGUCGUAACA
rnacentral:rRNA from 1 species